AACGUAGGAGACAACCGUUAUCCGGAGUUACUGGGCGUAAAGGGUGCGUAGGCGGGUCUUUAAGUCAGGGGUGAAAUCCUGGAGCUCAACUCCAGAACUGCCUUUGAUACUGAGGAUCUUGAGUUCGGGAGAGGUGAGUGGAACUGCGAGUGUAGAGGUGAAAUUCGUAGAUAUUCGCAAGAACACCAGUGGCGAAGGCGGCUCACUGGCCCGAUACUGACGCUGAGGCACGAAAGCGUGGGGAGCAAACAGG
rnacentral:rRNA from 1 species